rnacentral:rRNA from 1 species
AAGGUCUCGUUGGUGACCAGCGGAGGGUCAUUACCGAGUUUACAACUCCCAAACCCAAUGUGAACGUUACCAAACUGUUGCCUCGGCGGGAUCUCUGCCCCGGGUGCGUCGCAGCCCCGGACCAAGGCGCCCGCCGGAGGACCAACCAAAACUCUUAUUGUAUACCCCCUCGCGGGUUUUUUUAUAAUCUGAGCCUUCUCGGCGCCUCUCGUAGGCGUUUCGAAAAUGAAUCAAAACUUUCAACAACGGAUCUCUUGGUUCUGGCAUCGAUGAAGAACGCAGCGAAAUGCGAUAAGUAAUGUGAAUUGCAGAAUUCAGUGAAUCAUCGAAUCUUUGAACGCACAUUGCGCCCGCCAGUAUUCUGGCGGGCAUGCCUGUCCGAGCGUCAUUUCAACCCUCGAACCCCUCCGGGGGGUCGGCGUUGGGGAUCGGCCCUGCCUUGGCGGUGGCCGUCUCCGAAAUACAGUGGCGGUCUCGCCGCGGCCUCUCCUGCGCAGUAGUUUGCACACUCGCAUCGGGAGCGCGGCGCGUCCACAGCCGUUAAACACCCAACUUCUGAAAUGUUGACCUCGGAUCAGGUAGGAAUACCCGCUGAACUUAAGCUUAAA